UGAGCGGAUUUACAAUUUCACACAGGAGAGUUUGAUCAUGGCUCAGAUUGAACGCUGGCGGCAGGCCUAACACAUGCAAGUCGAGCGGUAGCACAGAGAGCUUGCUCUCGGGUGACGAGCGGCGGACGGGUGAGUAAUGUCUGGGAAACUGCCUGAUGGAGGGGGAUAACUACUGGAAACGGUAGCUAAUACCGCAUAAUGUCGCAAGACCAAAGUGGGGGACCUUCGGGCCUCAUGCCAUCAGAUGUGCCCAGAUGGGAUUAGCUAGUAGGUGGGGUAACGGCUCACCUAGGCGACGAUCCCUAGCUGGUCUGAGAGGAUGACCAGCCACACUGGAACUGAGACACGGUCCAGACUCCUACGGGAGGCAGCAGUGGGGAAUAUUGCACAAUGGGCGCAAGCCUGAUGCAGCCAUGCCGCGUGUGUGAAGAAGGCCUUCGGGUUGUAAAGCACUUUCAGCGGGGAGGAAGGCGUUAAGGUUAAUAACCUUGGCGAUUGACGUUACCCGCAGAAGAAGCACCGGCUAACUCC
rnacentral:rRNA from 1 species